GCCACGUACUGAGCUAUACUAGAUGCUUCCAUCAGUUUCCUCUUUCUUCUACGACCAUCGGAUUCUUCUCUCUUCUGUUGGUUUCUCUCUUCCUCCCUUCUGCCGGUUUAUUAACCUAUCGCCAUCACUCAGUACGACAUCGAAGAAGUACAGCAACACUACAACCACACAUUUUCGUAGCAGGAGAUAGUUUCUUUGUACGAGAGGUUCUGUCAGCUCGAUCGCAGCGGCGGAGGUUUCAUCUUUGCCGACGAGUUUUUGUCCGUACCGGAAUUCGCACUCAAUCCUCUCUCUCAAUUUUGGCUGGGUGGACGUAGAUACUGGGGGAGAGGGAUUGGAGCAAGACCACACUUGCUCUUAGGAGAUGCUUCUUUAUCAAUGCCCAAUUUCCUUUUCUCAUCAGAGAGAUUUGAUCAAACAACAAAGCUACUUAGUUUUGGGGAGGAAGGGGCAAAAUUCAUGUCUUGGUAGUGAGACUAGCUAAGAGAAACUCUAAGGCCGGGCUUCCAUUUGCGAAAAUCGUUCUCGUUCGGCGGCUCCCGGACAUCCGGGUUAGUCUCUGGCCUCACAGCCGUCAUAGGGUCUGCUGCCGGACGGGUAAAUUGAUGUCUACUGCUCAUGGGGCUCCGUCAGAGGGGGUUUUCGCAGGGCUUUAUCAGAUGGUUUUCGGCUGGGCUAGUGCGAGGCGGUGACUGGACUGUACUGGACAGGCGAUCGAUCCCCGCUGACAGUUCUUGACUGAUGGCGCCAUGGGUCUGGAUCGAUGGCUGUGUGGGUUGUGAGGAUCUAGGCCGGGGUUGGGUUUUUCGUCAUGGCUUAGGUUGUGGUGGCGUGACUCGUGGUGAUUUGGGUCCCGGACGAUGAAAGGUCAUGGUGGCGCGGAUUAUGGUGACGUGGGUCAGAUGGAGCUCGACCUAACUGGUACGUACGACGGGGUGAUGGCGAUGAAGAUAGUGGACUGACCCAAACCAACUUGAUGGCCUUGUGUGGAUUAUCUUUGGUGGCUGCUCUUUUACAAUAAUUUCUUUUUAAGAAGCUAAUGCACGUUAUGUGCACUCUAUGUAUCUCUAGCGCCUCUGGAGUAGUACCAAAGGAGGAUUCCUGUGAUGACUACAUACAUGAAUGUCUAAUGAGUGGGUCUAUUUCUAUGUACCACUAUGAGUACUACCACUAUCUUCUUGACUGUCUGUAGAUGACAAAUGAAGGGUAUGUAACAGCCUAUUCUAGCUUUAGAUGAAUAUAUUGGCACCUGCUCUUUGAGUU